ACCAGGUACGGCGGCCAUUUCUGUCGGUCACUAGUGUAGCGAUGUUUUUAUCUCAACACACAUUUAAUGACCAAUAAGAUGAAGAAACAUAAUCCCACCUGCUACGAGGCCUCGGAGGCGACUGAUGCGGGAACGGGAUGCGAGCGAACGUGUUUCGGACAAUCCCCUCAAACUCAAAACUCCCAACGACUUGGUUGCCAUCUUGCGCUGCCGAGCGUCGACACAAAGACCGGAGAUUAACGACCGGGUACGAGUGCGCACGAAGUUAUGGCCACACUGAAAAGAUACUGAGUAGUCUAUCGACGCCGCAUAGCACCGCAUAGUGAGCACGCUUUUUCGUGAUGUACACAAGAACGCUUGAGUGUUGGUUCUUGUAUUUAUAUUGAAGAAGAACAUUGCUAUAGCUACCAUCCAAAGAGGAAGAAAAGCUUACUAAGUAACGAAACAGGAUGAGAAAGGAACACCAGAUAUAAUACUAAUUUCGUCUAGUAAGAACCAACGGUACUCUUCACGCGACUUUCGCAUCGUCAAACACCAUCAUCGUCGUGAAAUCGAGUCUAAAAAGCAAAGAGACAGAGACGAAAAGGCAGAUGAGACAACGAGGGUGGAUCCCAUAAUUCACCCCAAUAUAUCUGGCUAUCCUUCUCUUUACCAAGGUUUAACCGUCCCGAGCUCCUCGUAUCGCUUCUCUAGUUGGGUAAAGCAAUACCAAAGUGUAAUAAGCGAAUACAUCAGUAACGAAACAUAAGAUAAACACAUGUGGACUAAAAGCUCUUACUGGGGAAAUAUCGGUGUGAAGCUUAGACACAAGAUAAGAGAGU
rnacentral:lncRNA from 1 species